UUUGAAAUGGAAAAACAUAUGUAUUAAUAUCACAAAAAUACACGAGAUUCAAUUUAUCCUAUUUAAUCUCAACAAAUAGAGUUAGUUCUCCAUGUGGAGAACCUAGAGUUUACAAAUUGAAGAGAUAGGGAAGAGAUGGAAACCAAAGAGAAUAUGCAAGCUCUCUCCCAUGGUUCUUGGCAGUUUCUCCAUGCUCUAGUUACGC
rnacentral:lncRNA from 1 species